GCGGACAUUUUAACACAUGAAUAUUGUUUGUGUAAUGUAGUCAUAAUAUUUACGCAGGGACGCAAGAGGAGUGAGGUGGAAGCUCCUCCGAACUCUGAACACAGAAACUCGGACUGGCACUUGAGAUCGACUCCUGCAGGCACUUCUCCAUCGAAUGAUCGUGGAAUUGAAAAAAGACUCAAUCCCACACAGUGAGUUCGAGCCUGUUUGGUGCCCCACCCUGGAGUCCUGCACACCUCCCAGGGCCGGUCCAUCAUGGUCUGUCUAAUGCAGGCAAAGACAUCAAUAAUGAGAGCUGAAGCAGAAACCACAGCGGAGAACACAAAAGAGAGAGGGAGGGCACACACAGGCCGCAAUUGGCUCUGCUGCAGGCUAGAGUGGGCAGGCAUGCGGCUUUGGCCACAGGAAGCUGUGAAUUCUUUGGAGAAUGGAAGAUGUCUUAUGGAGAGACAUACUGGCCCUCCACCCACCCACUCACCACCUCAAAAUGACCCCUGACCCUUUUCAUGUGUUUAUAUCAGACCGUGGAAGUGAGAAAUAGUGAUGAGUCACUCUGGCUGUGUGUUUACACUCUGGAGUCACGCAAGGAAGGAAAUCAGCCACGGUCUGCUAAAAGUGGCGAGGUGAGAGAGAAUAGCUGCAGUCCCAAGUGCUGCAGUGAUUUACCUCAGAGCCAGAAUUUGCUUCGUGUCAUCUCUGCUGUGAAAACUUUCAACCUGCAGAAAAGCACAGUAGACCUUUGUGGAGGAAAAGGGCCAAAACAAGUAGUAGCCACUGAGGAUAGGUGUGCGUAUGAGAGAAAGAUACGGAAUAUUUCAGGAAACAUAACAGUUAGAAUAAGUAAAAUAAUUAUUUCAUCAGAAUGCAUGUCAUCGAGAUGUUACAGAGUUCUUAAUAUGUUGGACUUUUGUGUUUUGUUAGAGAUGACCACGUUUAAUUUGAUUGCACUUUAAUCAUUCGCACACUUCACUGUAUUUAAAUGAAAACCUACACUCGCACACAUUCCCUUUGUUUUUAA